GUGCCAGCCGCCGCGGUAAUACGGAGGGUGCGAGCGUUAAUCGGAAUUACUGGGCGUAAAGCGUGCGUAGGCGGUUCGUUAAGUCAGAUGUGAAAGCCCUGGGCUCAACCUGGGAACUGCAUUUGAAACUGGCGGACUAGAGUUUAGUAGAGGGGAGUGGAAUUUCAGGUGUAGCGGUGAAAUGCGUAGAUAUCUGAAGGAACACCAGUGGCGAAGGCGACUCCCUGGACUAGAACUGACGCUGAGGUACGAAAGCGUGGGUAGCAAACAGGAUUAGAUACCCUCGUAGUCC
rnacentral:rRNA from 1 species